rnacentral:tRNA from 1 species
GGUGGGUUGGCUCAGCGGUUAGAGCGUAGGUCUCGUAAUCGAAAGGUCAUGGGAUCGAAUCCCGCUAUAGGCUG